rnacentral:rRNA from 1 species
GACGAACGCUGGCGGCGUGCUUAACACAUGCAAGUCGAACGGAAAGGCCCUGCUUUUGUGGGGUGCUCGAGUGGCGAACGGGUGAGUAACACGUGAGUAACCUGCCCUUGACUUUGGGAUAACUUCAGGAAACUGGGGCUAAUACCGGAUAGGAGCUCCUGAUGCAUGGUGGGGGUUGGAGAGUGUCGGCGGUUGGGGAUGGACUCGCGGCUUAUCAGCUUGUUGGUGGGGUAGUGGCUUACCAAGGCUUUGACGGGUAGCCGGCCUGAGAGGGUGACCGGCCACAUUGGGACUGAGAUACGGCCCAGAAUCCUACGGGAGGCAGCAGUGGGGAAUAUUGCACAAUGGGCGGAAGCCUGAUGCAGCAACGCCGCGUGCGGGAUGACGGCCUUCGGGUUGUAAACCGCUUUCGCCUGUGACGAAGCGUGAGUGACGGUAAUGGGUAAAGAAGCACCGGCUAACUACGUG